UCGUAGAAUCCGUACCUGGUUUGUCGUUGCUGUGAUAAUUCCAAUUGGGAGGGUAAAGAAAAAGGCAAUGGCACAUGCCAGCAAUACACCCCACCAGGGCAACUGGAGUUUCUCAAUGUAGUAUUCACAAGCAAAGAUGGUGAUGAAAAUGUUAGCAAUAAGGAUGCAGAUGAACCACCACUCAGGGACCUGCUUAUAUCUCCUCAUAAGUUUUGUGUGUAUAUCCACCCGUUUCUCUUGAAAAGCUGAUUUGCUUAACUUCAAUAUUUCACUGGACACAAGCAUCACAGUUCUUAGCUACUGCAACUAAGCAAUUUUGCACUACGGACUGACAAACUUUUGACAGAAGUUACCUUCCGUGGAAGAGGAGAACAUGAACGAUUGUUGCUGUCAGGGCUGCGAAACCGACACCAUACGUGACAGCGAAGACAGUGCUAAGUUGAUGUGAAGAGACCAGAAGAAAAGAUGGGGAAGGUCUGUGCCUUAUAGAAAUUAAACCAGUAGGCAAUGGGUGUGAUUAUGUACAUGACGAUGAAGAAGCCUGCAGCGACGUUUGCAGUGGCAAACCAGGGGCUGGCAAGAGGACUCCCAAGGUAGCUGGAAAUAGAAGCCCAGUCAAGACCGAUCGCGCCAAUGCCGAGGCCAUGGAGCCCUGAGCCGAGCUGCUGGGCAAGCACAGAGUAGGGGAAGACCCAGCAGAUCCAGGAGAGGGAGGUGAGCAUCUGGAACAGGUAGCCUGGGAAGAUAUAGUAUAUGAAGCUACCGGUGAAGGCCACCAUGAAAAACUGGUUGCGCGUGAAGCCACCUUUUCUGCGCUCUUCCUUCUCAUGAAGUGCCCUGAUGAACAACACAUUGCAAAUGUGUAAGUUAUUUUCAGGGAAUAUUAUGCAUUUUCAUUGUUCUUUUUUAACGUUGAUUUCUUUGAUCAUCAUACAAAUAUUCCUCCCAAGGUUAAUUUGACAGUAAAUAUUCUUUCUAAUCUUGUCCUGCCUGUUAUCUCCCUGCAUUUUCUUGAGAUGACCACCGGCUAUCUAGGAGAUAGAGUUCUUCAUUUCACUCUGUCCAUGUGGAUUUAAUAAAGAAGACAUGAGCGUAAGACCCAGUUGGUACAGCAAAGAUGCUAGGCUUGACAAAUAAAGAUGGCCUGCCACAAACUCUGAGAGGCCAGAUGCUGGAAGCUUUUCAUAUUAAUCUUUGUCAAUUUGAGAAGUUUAAUCCUUCAUUAGAGUUCCUUUUUUUUCAGACUCAAGUUCCAAAAUGUUCCUUAGAAUCUUUCAAGAGUCCAAGCUGUUGCAAUCAUGUCAUUUUCUUAUAGGCAGCGGGCCUGUCAUGACCUUGGCCUCUUUCAUGCUAAUCAGGGGGCCACCACGACGUGUGAUGAGUGAUGACCCACAGCAGGUGUACCUGAAGAGGGAGACCUGGACGAGGUUGGACGGCCACCACAUGGUGGCCGGCUCUACAAGGUACCGCCGGAAUAUGCCUGCCCAGCCAAAGCCGAGCACCUGGGUGGUGAGGACGAUGAGGAGGGAGACGAAGAAGGUGAGCUGCUUGCCGUAGAACACGCGGA